CUCUACGGCCAUACCACCCUGAACACGCCCGAUCUCGUCUGAUCUUGGAAGCUAAGCAGGGUUGGGCCUGGUUAGUACUUGGAUGGGAGAUAAAAAAGAUAAAAAAGACUGGGAAACACUACUGAAGGAC
rnacentral:rRNA from 1 species